AUGAAGGAUCUACAUAAAUCGAAAAGAAUAUGUAGUUGUUACAAAAUCCACAAGUGCUAAUUGGGAAAAAUAAUUCGCAGGAUCUCAUAUAAUCAAGGCCGUAAUCGAAAAAGUAUUCUGGUGGCCGUAAUCGAAAAAGUAUUCAGGUUCUUUUGAUUUUGUUUUAUUAUAAGAUCUUGAAGGUAUACUAUGCAAUUUUUUUUGGGUUAUAUUAUAUAUUUAUACACUUGUUCCUUUUCUUGUUUGUUUCCUUAUAAUCAAUGGAUUCGCAGAAGAUGGUUCGAACAGUGCCUCAUUUAAUUGUUAUACAGUGAUAUUAUAGACUUUUAAGAUCCACCCGACAAAGAAUUCUAACUAUUUUUACCAACUAUUUAGCUAGUUUAAUGUAUUCGGAUAGUUAUUUAACUAAGCUAAAUUUAUUACUUAAAUGUUUACAUAUACGUAAAUUAUUUAGUUACACGUAUGUCAAACAACUACAUAUAUGUAAAUAGUUGACUUACACACCUGUAAAGCAUGUUUCAAAAGUAGUCAUUGUUUUUCUUUAGUUUAACAUUUUAGAACCUAUUUUUAGAUUACAAUUGUAUUUAUUAUUUACAAUUUAAGUUACAAACUUUAAUAUAAAAGUUAAUUACAUAUAUCGGUAUGUUAUUAAGCUUUUGAUCCUGCUCUUAUUUACCUUCUUUGUUAUUGUAUUUAUAAUAGUUUUUUUGUGAUUGUAGGAUUUUGAUCCAGUUAAGGUGUUCAUAUUGCUUCAAAAUCACUUGGGAAAAUCAAAGGAAAGAGAAAGGGGCCAAUGAAAAUGUAUGUGUUGAUAUCAAUUUUUCAAUAGUUUGAUUGUACACAUGUGUAAAUAUCGAUUCUGUUACAUAUGUACCUGGAUAUCUAUUAACAUAUGUGUAAACAUAGAUUUGGUUUAUGUUACAGUUAAUAUAAAUUUAUUAAAUAAAUUUUUUGU
rnacentral:lncRNA from 1 species